GGAUUGACUUCCUUUUUAAAUCGCCCCCGCUCGUGCCAAAUCCAAAAUUUUGAACCCGGUUUCCCAAUUACUCACGGGUUGUUGUUAAUAGUCCAAAUUUUCAAUAGAAGAAGUCAGCGCUCUCCGUCGAAUGGCAUGCGGCUGCGCUCGGCAGGGAAAGCAGUGGACUCAAAGCACCACGCCACUCCCCGGCACCCGAUCCGAAGCCUUUAAAAAGGCUCCUUCACGAGUCGGGAGGGCGCUAAUGGUGCAAGCCGAGUCACCCAUGUCCACGGACUCCGUGCCCGUGGUUUUUAAGGGUCCCCGCGUCGCCGGCGCGGUAGGACCCAGCCCCUGCCGAGCAGACUCCCUCCGGAGCUCGGAGGGAGUCCGCCAUUCGGCGAUGGCGCUAACCCGGAAGUC